rnacentral:rRNA from 1 species
UACGGAGGGUUCGAGCGUUAUCCGGAUUUAUUGGGUUUAAAGGGUGCGUAGGCGGACUGGUAAGUCAGCUGUGAAAGUUUACGGCUCAACCGUGAAAUUGCAGUUGAUACUGUUGGUCUUGAGUAUACGUGAGGUAGGUGGAAUUUGUGGUGUAGCGGUGAAAUGCUUAGAUAUCAGAAGGAACUCCGAUUGCGAAGGCAGCUCACUGGGGUAUAACUGACGCUGAUGCACGAAGGUGUGGGUAUCAAACAGG